UUAAAGGAAUUGACGGAAGGGCACCACCAGGAGUGGAGCCUGCGGCUUAAUUUGACUCAACACGGGGAACCUCACCAGGUCCGGACAUGAUUGCGAUGGACAGAUCGAUAGCUCUUUCUAGAUCUCAUGGAUGGUGGUGCAUGGCCGUUCUUAGUUCGUGGAGCGAUUUGUCUGGUUAAUUCCGAUAACGAGCGAGACUCUACCUUACUAACUAAGACGUACGAUAUACACGAGGUCUGUUGCCGUACCGUAUGUUGCCCACAUUUCGGUGUGUGGUAUACUGCGUUACGGCACGGGCCAUACUAUCGGCGCAAAUGUUUUCUUCUUAGAAGAACAAGCUAUAUAUAGUAGCACGAGAGAGAGCAAUAACAGGUCAGUGAUGCCCUUAGAUGUCCUGGGCCGCACGCGUGCGACAAUGAAAGAGUCAAUAGGUGUCCUAGGCCGAAAUGUCUGGGUAAUCCUAGCAAUCUCUUUCGUGUUGGGGAUUGGGGCUUGAAAGUGCUUCCCAUGAACGAGGAAUUCCCAGUAAGCGUAGUUGAUCAAUCUACGCUGAUUGAGUCCCUGCCCUUUGUACACACCGCCCGUCGCUACUACCGAUGAGCGGGCUAGCGAGAUCUUCGGACCGGCGCCUCGAAAGAGGUCGUGUUACCGGAAAGUCGAUCAAACUUGCCCGUUUAGAGGAAGUAAAA
rnacentral:rRNA from 1 species